rnacentral:hammerhead_ribozyme from 1 species
GCACUUCUGACGUGUCCCAAACAGGACGAAACAGCUGUUCAGUGC